UGAGGAAUAUUGGUCAAUGGGCGGGAGCCUGAACCAGCCAAGCCGCGUGGAGGAAGAAGGUACAGAGUAUCGUAAACUCCUUUUGUCAGGGGAUAAAAGGCGCCACGAGUGGCGUUCUGAAGGUACCUGAAGAAAAAGCAUCGGCUAACUCCGUGCCAGCAGCCGCGGUAAUACGGAGGAUGCGAGCGUUAUCCGGAUUUAUUGGGUUUAAAGGGUGCGUAGGCGGUCUUUUAAGUCAGCGGUGAAAGCCCGGGGCUCAACCCCGGCGAGCCGUUGAUACUGGGAGACUGGAGAGGAAGAGAGGCAUGCGGAAUUCGCGGUGUAGCGGUGGAAAUGCUUAGAUAUCGCGAAAGAAACUCCGAUUGCGAAGGCAGCAUGCUGGCUUCUGUCUGACGCUGAGGCACGAAAAGCGUGGGGAUCGAACAGGAUUAGAUACC
rnacentral:rRNA from 1 species